UCAUUUUUUUUCACUGUUGUUGAUGCUCGGUAGCCGCUCACGAGGAGAUCUAUGUGAACCACAAGUUGUGAUUGAAGCUGAAGCCCUAAAGGAAACAAGAGGACAUGACAUUUGGCUGGAGUUUACAAGCUGUCCCCUAUAACGAUUCCGCUCCAGAGUCCGUGGCCUCGAGGAAUCAGGAUCCGACAAAACUUGAGAUGGACUACGACUAGGCUGAUUCGGGCACAAGAUUUCCCUGCCCCGGUUUGGUUCGUGUUUGGUCAAUUAAUCUCGCCUCAGGCUUAAUGGUAUGGCCCCGAAUCGCCAUUUAUUUACAGAAGGAAUGAUGAGGAACUGCUUCGUUUGUGUGAUGUGUAUAGUGUUAAAGUGAAAAUUGUGAAAAUGUGUCCACUUUGGAAAAAAAGACAUUUCCUUAAACAUUGGAAAAUAUAUUUAAUAUGAAACAUCAA